GCGACCCCAGGAUGGGCGAGGCCACCCGCCGA
rnacentral:rRNA from 4 species